rnacentral:misc_RNA from 1 species
AACCUCUCUCGAGCCUAUGGGAGAAAAGUACAACCAAUUUACAAGGCUUACAAAUGACUCAACAAAAUUUUCAAACCAGAAUGAGGCUGCCAAGGAGCAUCAAAGAAAAUUGUGCAUCAUUGAGGAAUAGAACUAUGCAGCUGCUUCUGGUAAAAAUGAGGUGCAGCCUCCGUUAGCCAAGAAGGAUCGAUAGUGAUGACAUUUCGCAUGUACUGACGAUCUGUUGAAACGAGAGAAUGGUACACGAUGAACUUCGGGUUGACCCUGAACAACACAGAUGAAGGAUGA